AACGAACGCUGGCGGCAGGCUUAACACAUGCAAGUCGAGCGCCCCGCAAGGGGAGCGGCAGACGGGUGAGUAACGCGUGGGAAUCUACCCAUCUCUACGGAAUAACGCAUGGAAACGUGUGCUAAUACCGUAUACGUCCUUCGGGAGAAAGAUUUAUCGGAGAUGGAUGAGCCCGCGUUGGAUUAGGUAGUUGGUGGGGUAAAGGCCUACCAAGGCGACGAUCCAUAGCUGGUCUGAGAGGAUGAUCAGCCACACUGGGACUGAGACACGGCCCAGCCUCCUACGGGAGGCAACAGUGGGGAAUAUUGGACAAUGGGCGCAAGCCUGAUCCAGCCAUGCCGCGUGAGUGAUGAAGGCCCUAGGGUUGUAAAGCUCUUUCACCGGUGAAGAUGAUGACGGUAACCGGAGAAGAAGCCCCGGCUAACUUCGUGCCAGCCGCCGCCGUAAUAC
rnacentral:rRNA from 1 species